UAAACGACUCUCGGCAACGGAUAUCUCGGCUCACGCAUCGAUGAAGAACGUAGCAAAAUGCGAUACUUGGUGUGAAUUGCAGAAUCCCGUGAACCAUCGAGUUUUUGAACGCAAGUUGCGCCCGAUGCCACCUGGUUGAGGGCACGCCUGCCUGGGCGUCACGC
rnacentral:rRNA from 1 species